rnacentral:rRNA from 1 species
GACGAACGCUGGCGGCGUGCUUAACACAUGCAAGUCGAGCGGUGAAGCGCCUUCCUUUUUGGUGGGUGUGGAUGAGUGGCGAACGGGUGAGUAACACGUGAGUAACCUGCCCCCUUCUUCUGGAUAACCGCAUGAAAGUGUGGCUAAUACGGGAUAUUCUGGGUCUGUCGCAUGAUGGGUCUGGGAAAGAUAUUGUUUCGGUGGGGGAUGGGCUCGCGGCCUAUCAGCUUGUUGGUGGGGUGAUGGCCUACCAAGGCGGUGACGGGUAGCCGGCCUGAGAGGGUGGCCGGUCACACUGGGACUGAGACACGGCCCAGACUCCUACGGGAGGCAGCAGUGGGGAAUAUUGCACAAUGGGCGCAAGCCUGAUGCAGCGACGCCGCGUGAGGGAUGGAGGCCUUCGGGUUGUGAACCUCUUUCGCCAGUGAAGCAGGCCUGCCUCGUUUGUGGGUGGGUUGACGGUAGCUGGAUAAGAAGCGCCGGCUAACUACGUG